GACCUCUAUGGUUAAUUUUGGUCAGCUAGAGGCUAUCUGCCCUCUGACUCAAAGCAAACUUUAUUGUCGGAAUGCAAUCAAAAUGUCACACAACAUACAUCAUUCAAAAGAAACUGAAGAAACCUUCCUAAGCACUUUUUAGGGUGACAUUUUGAGCUGGCUUGAGUAGUCAUGAUUAAAAGCCAGAAUGCCAGGACACUGACCGGAAUUAUAUCCAUGACUCAGAGCUGAUACAUGAAGCUUCUCCUGUUGAUGGUUGCUGUCAAUACUCAAAUAUGUGACAGGUCACUCCCUGAUAUUAGACUUCUCAGAUCUCUGUCACUACAUUUCUUUACCAUAUCCUUGAAUUCAGUUUCUCUCCUUCCUACCUCAUUCUAUGCUUCCCACCCCCUGAGUCCCUCAUAUUAAAACUUUUUACAAGGGAUAUUUAAAUGACACUCAAUUGGGUCUCCUUUCAUUUCUACCUAAUUCUGUGACCACCAUCUCAAUAAGGCCAUGCCAAAUCAUUUCUAUGGUAUCACCCUGGGAAAAUGUACCAGUUAUUGAGUUGUCUCCUAAGUCACGAUACAAGGAGGUUCAGUGGCCUAUUGAGCAGGAAGCAUGGGUAGCCAUGGUUGCUCUCUUGUUUUUAUGUUUUUUGUUGUUUUUCUCGUUACUAUGAUAAAAUGCCUGAGAUGAAGCCAUUUAAAGGAGGAAGGGUUGUUAUUGGCUUGCAGUUCGAGGCUGUGGUCCAUCCUGGUGGGAAAGCAUGGAACACGAGGCCACUAGUCACAUGGCAUCUACAGUCAAGAAACAGAAGUGAAUGUUGGUGCUCUGUGCUCUGCUCCUUCUCUUCCUGGACUGACUUCAAUCUGGGACCCAAACACAUGGGGUGCUGCCACCCAAGCUUACUGUGGACCUUCACACCUCAAUUAACCCAGUCUACAAACUCUCUCACAGGUCAAGGUGACCAUCGAGAUAAACCAUUACAGUCAUAGAGAACAGCCGGCCUCUCCACCACUUGAGUUUUUCCAUGAUGUAGACGGGCAGCUCCAGCAGUGUCAGGAAGAAGGAUGUUCCAUCUUGGAGAGCUGCCCAACUUCUCUGUAGCCUUUGUCUACUUAUCUGCAAUGAAAAGAACAUCCUCCUCCCUUGCUUUCAGUACAUUUUCUGUCUGUCACCCAUAGUCAUCUUCUACAAGUUGUCUUUUUUUUUUCUAGCCAUUGGAUAAGAUGUCCUUACCAGUAUCAAGAAAUUCAUGUUUCAAUCACAAUCAUACUCAAUGCAAACAGUAGAAAGAGGACUGGUUUCUUUCCUAUCCUUUAAUAAAGUUCUAUGUGUAUAGAA